AGUGAACGCUGGCGGUAGGCCUAACACAUGCAAGUCGAACGGAAGCACAGUAAGAGCUUGCUCUUACGGGUGGCGAGUGGCGGACGAGUGAGAAAUACAUAGGAAUCUACUUUUUCGUGGGGGAUAACGUAGGGAAACUUACGCUAAUACCGCAUACGACCUACGGGUGAAAGCAGGGGAUCUUCGGACCUUGCGCGAUUGAAUGAGCCGAUGUCGGAUUAGCUAGUUGGCGGGGUAAAGGCCCACCAAGGCGACGAUCCGUAGCUGGUCUGAGAGGAUGAUCAGCCACACUGGAACUGAGACACGGUCCAGACUCCUACGGGAGGCAGCAGUGGGGAAUAUUCGACAAUGGGCGAAAGCCUGACGCAGCCAUACCGCGUGGGUGAAGAAGGUCUUCGGGUUGUAAAGCUCUUUUAUUGGGGAAGAAAAAAAGUGUGUUAAACUCUGGCUGUUUUGACGGUACCCAAACAGUAAGCACCGGCUAACUUCGUG
rnacentral:rRNA from 1 species